rfam:Salmo salar isolate Sally breed double haploid chromosome ssa13, whole genome shotgun sequence.
UCCCGUGUGGCUCACUUGGUAGAGCAUGGUGUUUGCAACAGCAGGGUUGUGGGUUCAAUUCCCACAGGGGAC